GAUUCAUUUCGCAACACCUAUGGCUUCCACUAGAUGUCAACGAUCUUUAUAAAGUUGUUUGAAGCGUCUAUGAUAAACAGAGAGCAAAUUAGAAUGCAAGGAAGUUGACAUGUCAUCACUUCAUUUUUUUGCGUCUGCGCAUAAAUCUGAGAAGCGUGAGUUUGUCAUCAUUGUUUAUCUAGACAUAGGAUAGGUUGUGUGAAAAUAUUACUGAUGUUUAACGUUAAAAAUGGACCAAAAGAUUAAUGCUAAACAACAUUUGACAUGUUUGAACGAACGUAAAUAGAUUAUUUACUAGGUUUUUUUAGCUUUUCGGCGUGAUUUUACACCCCCCCCACCACGUUUUGUGGGAGCAUAAUGAACGCUAAGUACUUGGUGUUAUUUGGACAUAAAUUAUGAACUUUGUCAAAAGAAACCACAUUUGUUCCGGACCUGGGAAAUCCUGGCAGUGCCUUCUGAUGGAGAUAAUCAAAGGUUCCCUUGGAGAGUUCAUCAAUGAGCUUGACGCCUUGAUAAGUUCCUUUCCUGAGGAUGGCUCACUCCUCACAGUUCUGGACCUAUCUGCUGCCUUUGAUACUGUGAACCAUCAGAUCCUCCUCUCCACCCUCUCCGAGUUGGGCAUCUCCGGCGCGGCUCACUCUUGGAUUGCGUCCUACCUGAC
rnacentral:lncRNA from 1 species